rnacentral:rRNA from 1 species
GACGGCCUACGGGAGGCAGCAGUGGGGAAUAUUGCACAAUGGGGGGAACCCUGAUGCAGCGACGCCGCGUGGGUGAAGGAGCACCUCGGUGCGUAAAGCCCUAUCGGCAGGGAAGAAAAGCGAACAGGUUCGCCUGGACGGUACCUGACUAAGAAGCCCCGGCUAACUACGUGCCAGCAGCCGCGGUAAUACGUAGGGGGCAAGCGUUAUCCGGAUCCACUGGGGGUAAAGGGAGCGUAGACGGCGGCGCAAGUCUGGAGUGAAAGCCCGGGGCCCAACCCCGGGACUGCUCUGGAAACUGCGGC